UGGACAGAAAGACCCUAUGAAGCUUUACUGUAACUUGAGACCGAUUUCGGGCUUUAUUUGCGCAGAAUAGGUGGGAGGCUGUGAAAGACGUCUUACGGGACAUCUGGAGCCAUUCGUGAGAUACCACUCUGAUAAAGCUAGAAGUCUAACCUUCGACCGUUAGCCGGUGAAGAAACAAUCUCAGGCGGGCAGUUUGACUGGGGCGGUCGCCUCCCAAAAAGUAACGGAGGCGCACAAAGGUUUCCUCAGAUCGGUCAGACAUCGAUCUUCGAGUGUAAAGGCAAAAGGAAGCUUGACUGUGAGACCAACAAGUCGAACAGAG
rnacentral:rRNA from 1 species